UACGAAGGGGGCUAGCGUUGUUCGGAAUUACUGGGCGUAAAGCGCACGUAGGCGGAUUGUUAAGUCGGGGGUGAAAUCCUGGAGCUCAACUCCAGAACUGCCUUCGAUACUGGCAAUCUCGAGUCCGGAAGAGGUGAGUGGAACUCCUAGUGUAGAGGUGGAAUUCGUAGAUAUUAGGAAGAACACCAGUGGCGAAGGCGGCUCACUGGUCCGGUACUGACGCUGAGGUGCGAAAGCGUGGGGAGCAAACAGG
rnacentral:rRNA from 1 species